rnacentral:tRNA from 2 species
GGUCCCUUAGCUCAGUUGGUUAGCAGCAGCUGACUCAUAAUCAGCGGGUCGCAGGUUCAAGUCCUGCAGGGACCA